rnacentral:tRNA from 1 species
GCCCUCGUAUCCCAAUUGGCAGAGGAAACGGAUUCAAAACCCUGCAGUGUGAGUCGAGUCUCACCGAGGGCACCA